rnacentral:rRNA from 1 species
GAUGAACGCUGGCGGCGUGCCUCAAACAUGCAAGUCGAGCGAGGCUAUGAGUUACCGCAAGGUAAGGCAUAGCCUAGCGGCGAACGGGUGAGUAACACGUGGGUAACCUACCUGGAAGACAGGGAUAACGAUUCGAAAGGGUCGCUAAUACCUGAUAAUAUCCAUCUGCCGGAUGGCGGAGGGAAGAAAGGGGAAACCCGCUUUCAGAUGGGCCCGCGUCCCAUCAGCUAGUUGGUAAGGUAAAGGCUUACCAAGGCGACGACGGGUAGCCGGUCUGAGAGGAUGUACGGCCACACUGGGACUGAGAUACGGCCCAGACUCCUACGGGAGGCAGCAGUUGGGAAUCUUAGGCAAUGGACGAAAGUCUGACCUAGCGACGCCGCGUGAGGGAAGAAGGCCUUCGGGUUGUAAACCUCUGUCAUGGGGGAAGAAGGAAGUGACGGUACCCAAGAGGAAGCCCCUGCUAACUACGUGCCAGCAGCCGCGGUAAGGUCACGUCG